GUGGAAGCAAGAAUGAGAGCAAUACAGAGACUGAGAUGAGACCAAGGUGUUGAUCCUGAGAGCAUCCUUGAGAAUCCACCUCUGUGCAAACUUCAUGUCACAGUCUACUUCUCAGAGAAUGGGACCUAGGAAACCUCCUCCACAAAGUCCUCCCUCACCCAUUCCCAGUGGACCUGUUUCGGCUUUCUGACAAUACUGUUUGGGUCAGUUGAAUCCAGUCAUUUUGCAGUUUCUGAUGUCACCAACUUUGUUGAAGAUGAAGCAGGCUCAGAAGAGAGUCAGAUGGGCUUUGAAUUGUAACUAUGUCCAUCAUCGGUUACACAAACAUGGAAGAUUAUUUCAUCUCCCAGUUUCUUCAUCAGUAAAUUCAGAAUGAUAAUAUAUGGCUUGAAGAGUUGUUGAGAGGAUAACAUUUUAUAAUAUAGACAAAUUGCC
rnacentral:lncRNA from 1 species